GUGAACAAGCUGGAAAGCUUGGCGAUACAGGGUGAUAGCCCCGUAACCGACGCUUCAUCGAGCGUGAAAUCGAGUAGGGCGGGACACGUGAUAUCCUGUCUGAAUAUGGGGGGACCAUCCUCCAAGGCUAAAUACUCCUGACUGACCGAUAGUGAACCAGUACCGUGAGGGAAAGGCGAAAAGAACCCCUGUGAGGGGAGUGAAAUAGAACCUGAAACCGUGUACGUACAAGCAGUAGGAGCACCUUCGUGGUGUGACUGCGUACCUUUUGUAUAAUGGGUCAGCGACUUAUAUUCAGUGGCAAGGUUAACCGUAUAGGGGAGCCGUAGCGAAAGCGAGUCUUAACUGGGCGCUCAGUCUCUGGAUAUAGACCCGAAACCGGGUGAUCUAGCCAUGGGCAGGUUGAAGGUUGAGUAACAUCAACUGGAGGACCGAACCGACUAAUGUUGAAAAAUUAGCGGAUGACUUGUGGCUAGGGGUGAAAGGCCAAUCAAACUCGGAGAUAGCUGGUUCUCCCCGAAAGCUAUUUAGGUAGCGCCUCGGACGAAUACUACUGGGGGUAGAGCACUGUUAAGGCUAGGGGGUCAUCCCGACUUACCAACCCUUUGCAAACUCCGAAUACCAGUAAGUACUAUCCGGGAGACACACGGCGGGUGCUAACGUCCGUCGUGGAGAGGGAAACAACCCAGACCGCCAGCUAAGGUCCCAAAGUAUUGCUAAGUGGGAAACGAUGUGGGAAGGCUCAGACAGCUAGGAUGUUGGCUUAGAAGCAGCCAUCAUUUAAAGAAAGCGUAAUAGCUCACUAGUCGAGUCGGCCUGCGCGGAAGAUGUAACGGGGCUAAGCAAUACACCGAAGCUGCGGCAAUGUCUUUUAGACAUUGGGUAGGGGAGCGUUCUGUAAGCCGUUGAAGGUGAAUCGUAAGGUUUGCUGGAGGUAUCAGAAGUGCGAAUGCUGACAUGAGUAACGACAAAGGGGGUGAAAAACCUCCUCGCCGGAAGACCAAGGGUUCCUGUCCAACGUUAAUCGGGGCAGGGUGAGUCGACCCCUAAGGUGAGGCCGAAAGGCGUAAUCGAUGGGAAACGGGUUAAUAUUCCCGUACUUCUGACUAUUGCGAUGGGGGGACGGAGAAGGCUAGGUGGGCCAGGCGACGGUUGUCCUGGUUCAAGUGCGUAGGCUUGAGAGUUAGGUAAAUCCGGCUCUCUCUAAGGCUGAGACACGACGUCGAGCUACUACGGUAGUGAAGUCAUUGAUGCCAUGCUUCCAGGAAAAGCCUCUAAGCUUCAGAUAGUCAGGAAUCGUACCCCAAACCGACACAGGUGGUCGGGUAGAGAAUACCAAGGCGCUUGAGAGAACUCGGGUGAAGGAACUAGGCAAAAUGGUACCGUAACUUCGGGAGAAGGUACGCUCUUGAUGGUGAAGUCCCUCGCGGAUGGAGCUGACGAGAGUCGCAGAUACCAGGUGGCUGCAACUGUUUAUUAAAAACACAGCACUGUGCAAAAUCGCAAGAUGACGUAUACGGUGUGACGCCUGCCCGGUGCCGGAAGGUUAAUUGAUGGGGUUAGCGCAAGCGAAGCUCUUGAUCGAAGCCCCGGUAAACGGCGGCCGUAACUAUAACGGUCCUAAGGUAGCGAAAUUCCUUGUCGGGUAAGUUCCGACCUGCACGAAUGGCGUAAUGAUGGCCACGCUGUCUCCACCCGAGACUCAGUGAAAUUGAAAUCGCUGUGAAGAUGCAGUGUACCCGCGGCUAGACGGAAAGACCCCGUGAACCUUUACUACAGCUUGGCACUGAACAUUGAACCUACAUGUGUAGGAUAGGUGGGAGGCUAUGAAGACGUGACGCCAGUUGCGUUGGAGCCGUCCUUGAAAUACCACCCUUGUAUGUUUGAUGUUCUAACUUAGACCCAUUAUCUGGGUUGAGGACAGUGCCUGGUGGGUAGUUUGACUGGGGCGGUCUCCUCCCAAAGAGUAACGGAGGAGCACGAAGGUGGGCUAAUCACGGUUGGACAUCGUGAGGUUAGUGCAAUGGCAUAAGCCCGCUUAACUGCGAGAAUGACGGUUCGAGCAGGUGCGAAAGCAGGUCAUAGUGAUCCGGUGGUUCUGUAUGGAAGGGCCAUCGCUCAACGGAUAAAAGGUACUCCGGGGAUAACAGGCUGAUACCGCCCAAGAGUUCAUAUCGACGGCGGUGUUUGGCACCUCGAUGUCGGCUCAUCACAUCCUGGGGCUGAAGUCGGUCCCAAGGGUAUGGCUGUUCGCCAUUUAAAGUGGUACGCGAGCUGGGUUUAGAACGUCGUGAGACAGUUCGGUCCCUAUCUGCCGUGGGCGUUGGAAGAUUGAAGGGGGCUGCUCCUAGUACGAGAGGACCGGAGUGGACGAACCUCUGGUGUUCGGGUUGUGUCGCCAGACGCAUUGCCCGGUAGCUAAGUUCGGAAUUGAUAAGCGCUGAAAGCAUCUAAGCGCGAAGCGAGCCCUGAGAUGAGUCUUCCCUGACAGUUUAACUGUCCUAAAGGGUUGUUCGAGACUAGAACGUUGAUAGGCAGGGUGUGUAAGCGUUGUGAGGCGUUGAGCUAACCUGUACUAAUUGCCCGUGAGGCUUAACCAU
rnacentral:rRNA from 1 species